GCCACUAAGAAUCCAUUGCAGCUAAACUCUGCUCUGAGCCCACCCGGCUUGUGCCUGGGCUGCUGAGAAAGGGCUGCGCACCCAGAAGUAGUUUUAUUCUUAUUGGGGAUUACCGCUGGGGAAAAGUAGGAUUCGUUUAGCCCUCACCUCCUUUCUCUUUUCGGGGUCGCAUCUUUCCCCCGCUUAAGCCUGGGGUUGGGCAACUACCAAGAGAGCAAAGGAAUCCCCACCCUAAAGAUCUAGGCAGCCUCAUAAUAAUGGUUCUGCUUCGGGGGUGUUCGGCUCCCCAGUUAGAAAACAAUCUUCCUUUGUGCCCCCAGCGUGGAUCCCUACACAGGACACAAUCAAAGGUUAGGAGCUGCAGGCCGGAGGACGCCCUGGCACCCUCCAGUCGAGAUCAUCCCAAACAGAGAGCCCAGCUUGCGAGGCAGUAGUAAGAUGCCCGGUAGCUGAGGUCUUGGGGGUUUGCGGGCUUCCAGUCUAAAGAGCAACUGGCAUUAAAGCGGAACACGGUUAAGGCAAUGCACCUGUCCCGGGUGCUGUGGGCUUAGAUAAUGACCAUCCGCAUCCUCUCCCCCUUCCUCAGGAAAGUCAGGUCAGUCUGAAUUUAAAGAGGCACCCUGCAAAAGCGUGUGCUCUCUGAAGUUGCUCUAGUUUCUUAGAGGGAGCCCGCAGACGCAGACUCCCUUCCAAAAACCUGUGGACACCUUAGCGGAACUCUGCCUAGCCAGCGCGGCUGUUUUCAAUGGCCCAGGCCUGUCUGUCCCCUCCUUCCUCCCGAGGUCAGAGGCCAAAUCGGGACCCAGGGUUAGAAAUCCUUGAACCAGCAUCCCCAUAAACCUGAUGCAGCAACCGCUCUCACUUUCACAAAGAUCCUGUAGCCUUCCUUUGGCAGGAGGAACUGCCUCUGGGGAACAGCGGAAAGAGAAGGCACCAGUUACUACGAGGAGCCGGGAGCCGUGCCUGCCUUCGCCUCGCUGAGCCCAGGCGCCCCAGGGCUGCAGUUACCUUGUUCAGCCGAAGUCCCCGGGCAGAGCUUGUUUGCGAGGCUCGCCGCGCUGGACUCGAAGAACCAGAGACUCUGGAGUCCACUGGCACCUCUGGCGAGCUGGAGUCCCGAUGCUGCUUCUCUAGCGGCAGGGACCCCGAGCGCCCGACGCACGCGAGCGCUCGCAACCCCGGAGUGCUGCCGCCGGGGUCUGGACUGACCUACAGUUGA
rnacentral:lncRNA from 1 species